rnacentral:rRNA from 1 species
GGGGACCCGCAAGCGGUGGAGCAUGUGGUUUAAUUCGAAGCAACGCGAAGAACCUUACCAGGUCUUGACAUCCUCUGACAAUCCUAGAGAUAGGACGUUCCCCUUCGGGGGACAGAGUGACAGGUGGUGCAUGGUUGUCGUCAGCUCGUGUCGUGAGAUGUUGGGUUAAGUCCCGCAACGAGCGCAACCCUUGUCCUUAGUUGCCAGCAUUCAGUUGGGCACUCUAAGGAGACUGCCGGUGACAAACCGGAGGAAGGUGGGGAUGACGUCAAAUCAUCAUGCCCCUUAUGACCUGGGCUACACACGUGCUACAAUGGAUGGUACAAAGGGCUGCGAGACCGCGAGGUUUAGCCAAUCCCAUAAAACCAUUCUCAGUUCGGAUUGUAGGCUGCAACUCGCCUACAUGAAGCCGGAAUCGCUAGUAAUCGUGGAUCAGCAUGCCACGGUGAAUACUUUCCCGGGUCUUGUACACACC